rnacentral:tRNA from 1 species
GCCUGGGUGGCCGAGCUGGUUAAGCGUCUAACUUUGGCUCAGGUCAUGAUCUCAGGGUUCGUGGGUUCAAGCCCCACACUGGGCU